rnacentral:rRNA from 1 species
UACAGAGGGUGCGAGCGUUGUCCGGAAUUACUGGGCGUAAAGGGCGCGUAGGCGGCUUGGUAAGUCGGGGGUGAAAGCCAGCGGCUCAACCGCUGGACUGCCUUCGAGACUGCCUGGCUUGAGCAUGGUAGAGGCUGGCGGAAUUCCCGGUGUAGCGGUGGAAUGCGUAGAGAUCGGGAAGAACAUCGGUGGCGAAGGCGGCCAGCUGGGCCAUUGCUGACGCUGAUGCGCGACAGCGUGGGGAGCAAACAGG